rnacentral:rRNA from 1 species
CCUACGGGUGGCAGCAGUGAGGAAUAUUGGUCAAUGGACGCAAGUCUGAACCAGCCAUGCCGCGUGCAGGAAGACGGCUCUAUGAGUUGUAAACUGCUUUUGUACCGGGGUAAAAUGCCUUACGUGUAGGGUUUUGAAAGUACGGUACGAAUAAGGAUCGGCUAACUCCGUGCCAGCAGCCGCGGUAAUACGGAGGAUCCGAGCGUUAUCCGGAUUCAUUGGGUUUAAAGGGUGCGUAGGUUGUUUUAUAAGUUAGCGGUGAAAUACCGAUGCUCAACAUCGGGGCUGCCGCUAAUACUGUAGGACUAGAGAUCGGAUGCAGCAGGCGGAAUGUGUAGUGUAGCGGUGAAAUGCAUAGAUAUUACACAGAACACCGAUUGCGAAGGCAGCUUGCUAGGCCGGAUCUGACACUGAUGCACGAAAGCGUGGGGAUCGAACAGGAUUAGAUACCCUGGUAGUC